rnacentral:rRNA from 1 species
AACCUCCGCAAUGUGAGAAAUCGCGACGGGGGGAUCCCAAGUGCCAUUCUUAACGGGAUGGCUUUUCAUUAGUGUAAAGAGCUUUUGGAAUAAGAGCUGGGCAAGACCGGUGCCAGCCGCCGCGGUAACACCGGCAGCUCUAGUGGUAGCAAUUUUUAUUGGGCCUAAAGCGUCCGUAGCCGGUUUAAUAAGUCUCUGGUGAAAUCCUGCAGCUUAACUGUGGGAAUUGCUGGAGAUACUAUUAGACUUGAGAUCGGGAGAGGUUAGAGGUACUCCCAGGGUAGAGGUGAAAUUCUGUAAUCCUGGGAGGACCGCCUGUUGCGAAGGCGUCUAACUGGAACGAUUCUGACGGUGAGGGACGAAAGUUAGGGGCGCGAACCGGAUUAGAUACCCGGUAGUCCUAACUGUAAACGAUGCGGACUUGGUGUUGGGGUGGCUUUGAGCUGCUCCAGUGCCGAAGGGAAGCUGUUAAGUCCGCCGCCUGGGAAGUACGGUCGCAAGACUGAAACUUAAAGGAAUU